rnacentral:lncRNA from 1 species
GUGACAUGCGGAGGCUGGGUGGGACGUUUCCUGCCAAACUGGACCCCAAGGUUUAUGGAAAGGUCCCAGGACAUCUCUGGUGGACUCACACAUGGAACUUGCUCUCUCUCGCUCUGGAACCUUCUUAUUCGCUGAAGGUCUCUUCGUUGAUGUGGGAGCUACAAUUUCCUGAGAAUAGGGAAAGUAGAGGCAACUGUGCUGAGAUGGAAAACUCAUAACCUGAACCGGCGAGUCUGGAAUCCCUGAACUCAAGAGGCUGAGUCGGAAGGAUCAUCAUGAGUUUGAGAAGCUGCCAAAUCCUUGGGAGGAGAAGGACACCGAGGGGGGGGCAUUUAAAAGUCUCCCUAAAAGAAACUACAAAGCUAACAGUCUCUGAGUCUCAUAGUUUCUCUUGAGAAGUGAGUUGUUGAUCAGGUCCAGAGUCUUCGUGGGACUAUCCAGGAAAAGAUGACAAAAAUCUCUUCACAUGAUUGUCCAGGAAAAGCUUUUCUUGAGUCCCACUGUGAACACAAAGUUGUGCCCAUGAUCCUGCUGUGGUGUCUUCCCAGAAGAGUGGAGCUCAAGGGAGACUGGGAAUGGAAGAAGCAAGAAGUUCUGACAAUACCAAUUGUUUAGGUCUAGGAUCCAUUGAGGUAGCCUGGUGGAUAAAAGGAAGCCUAACAAUGUGAGUUAAUCCUCAGGACCCACAUGGUGGAAGGAGAGAACCAGCUCUCACGAGUUAUCCUCUUCACAUAAGCUCUGAAACAUGUGAAACAUGCGGAACACGUGCCCCUUCCCCCCACCGCUGCUGUCCCACCACCACACAGCACCCUUGUAGGAGACAGACACGGCAGACUGACACAGCUGUUGUGACCACACUCCCCAUGCCUGGCUGAGGGCCAUUUGAGUCUGGAGAUGAAGAGCAUUGUGGAGAAAUUUUUCUCUGCAGAAAAGUUCCCAAGUCAAUACUGCCAGCUUUCCCCUUGGUCCCCCACCCUCACCCCUUGGAGCUGAGGCCUGAACCCAGGGCUAAUCAAACCACUGAGCUAAAUCUCCAACCACUCCCUUGGUGACUUUUGUCACUCUCUACCUGAGGUGCCCAAACCUUGUCAAACUGUAAGAAACCUUUUGUGACAGGCCAUGAUGACACAGGGUAAUGCCAGUGGGUAACCAGUUUAUCCACCUGGAAGGAUCCCCAGAUACAGGCCCAGUUUGUUUAUUUUUUUAAUUUGUUAUAUGCAUGUGUGCUUUGCCCGUAUACAUGUCUGUGCCCCGAAAGCAUGCAGUGCCUUGGAAGUCAGAA